CAUAGGUUAAUGAGGCGAACCGGGGGAACUGAAACAUCUAAGUACCCCGAGGAAAAGAAAUCAACCGAGAUUCCCCCAGUAGCGGCGAGCGAACGGGGAGGAGCCCAGAGCCUGAAUCAGCAUGUGUGUUAGUGGAAGCGUCUGGAAAGGCGCGCGAUACAGGGUGACAGCCCCGUACACAAAAGCGCAUGUGCUGUGAGCUCGAUGAGUAGGGCGGGACACGUGGUAUCCUGUCUGAAUAUGGGGGGACCAUCCUCCAAGGCUAAAUACUCCUGACUGACCGAUAGUGAACCAGUACCGUGAGGGAAAGGCGAAAAGAACCCCGGCGAGGGGAGUGAAAAAGAACCUGAAACCGUGUACGUACAAGCAGUGGGAGCACAGGUUUACCUGUGUGACUGCGUACCUUUUGUAUAAUGGGUCAGCGACUUAUAUUCUGUAGCA
rnacentral:rRNA from 1 species